GACGAACGCUGGCGGCGUGCCUAAUACAUGCCAGUAGAACGCUGAAGGAGGAGCUUGCUUCUCUGGAUGAGUUGCGAACGGGUGAGUAACGCGUAGGUAACCUGCCUGGUAGCGGGGGAUAACUAUUGGAAACGAUAGCUAAUACCGCAUAACAGUAGAUAUCGCAUGAUAUCUACUUGAAAGGUGCAAUUGCAUCACUACCAGAUGGACCUGCGUUGUAUUAGCUAGUUGGUGAGGUAACGGCUCACCAAGGCGACGAUACAUAGCCGACCUGAGAGGGUGAUCGGCCACACUGGGACUGAGACACGGCCCAGACUCCUACGGGAGGCAGCAGUAGGGAAUCUUCGGCAAUGGACGGAAGUCUGACCGAGCAACGCCGCGUGAGUGAAGAAGGUUUUCGGAUCGUAAAGCUCUGUUGUAAGGGAAGAACGAGUGUGAGAGUGGAAAGUUCACACUGUGACGGUAUCUUACCAGAAAGGGACGGCUAAUUACGG
rnacentral:rRNA from 1 species